rnacentral:rRNA from 1 species
CCUACGGGCGUGCAGCAGUGGGGAAUAUUGGACAAUGGGCGAAAGCCUGAUCCAGCCAUGCCGCGUGUGUGAAGAAGGCCUUCGGGUUGUAAAGCACUUUCAGUGGGGAAGAAAGCCUUGGGGCUAAUACCCUCGAGGAAGGACAUCACCCACAGAAGAAGCACCGGCUAACUCCGUGCCAGCAGCCGCGGUAAUACGGAGGGUGCGAGCGUUAAUCGGAAUUACUGGGCGUAAAGCGCGCGUAGGCGGUCUGAUAAGCCGGUUGUGAAAGCCCCGGGCUCAACCUGGGAACGGCAUCCGGAACUGUCAGGCUAGAGUGCAGGAGAGGAAGGUAGAAUUCCCGGUGUAGCGGUGAAAUGCGUAGAGAUCGGGAGGAAUACCAGUGGCGAAGGCGGCCUUCUGGACUGACACUGACGCUGAGGUGCGAAAGCGUGGGUAGCAAACAGGAUUAGAUACCCGAGUAGUC